UACGUAGGUGGCGAGCGUUAUCCGGAAUUAUUGGGCGUAAAGAGCGCGCAGGUGGUUGAUUAAGUCUGAUGUGAAAGCCCACGGCUUAACCGUGGAGGGUCAUUGGAAACUGGUCGACUUGAGUGCAGAAGAGGGAAGCGGAAUUCCAUGUGUAGCGGUGAAAUGCGUAGAGAUAUGGAGGAACACCAGUGGCGAAGGCGGCUUCCUGGUCUGUAACUGACACUGAGGCGCGAAAGCGUGGGGAGCAAACAGG
rnacentral:rRNA from 1 species